CCUUGCUAUCAUAUGCAAAGAGUGUGUGUCUACAAGGGUCUCAUUGCACAUGAUAGUGGGGCU
rnacentral:pre_miRNA from 1 species